GGCCAAGUUUUUAAGGGCGC
rnacentral:rRNA from 6 species